CCUACGGGAGGCAGCAGUGGGGAAUAUUGGACAAUGGGGGCAACCCUGAUCCAGCCAUGCCGCGUGUGUGAAGAAGGCCCUCGGGUUGUAAAGCACUUUCAGUGAGGAAGAACGCCUGGUGGUUAAUACCCAUCAGGAAAGACAUCACUCACAGAAGAAGCACCGGCUAACUCCGUGCCAGCAGCCGCGGUAAUACGGAGGGUGCGAGCGUUAAUCGGAAUUACUGGGCGUAAAGCGCGCGUAGGUGGCUUGAUAAGCCGGUUGUGAAAGCCCCGGGCUCAACCUGGGAACGGCAUCCGGAACUGUCAAGCUAGAGUGCAGGAGAGGAAGGUAGAAUCCCCGGUGUAGCGGUGAAAUGCGUAGAGAUCGGGAGGAAUACCAGUGGCGAAGGCGGCCUUCUGGACUGACACUGACACUGAGGUGCGAAAGCGUGGGUAGCAAACAGGAUUAGAUACCCUAGUAGUC
rnacentral:rRNA from 1 species